rnacentral:rRNA from 1 species
UACGUAGGGGGCAAGCGUUGUCCGGAAUCAUUGGGCGUAAAGAGCGUGUAGGCGGUUCGGUAAGUCGGCUGUGAAAGUCCAGGGCUCAACCCUGGAAGGCCGGUGGAAACUGUCGGGCUAGAGUCCGGAAGAGGCGAGUGGAAUUCCCGGUGUAGCGGUGAAAUGCGCAGAUAUCGGGAGGAACACCAAUGGCGAAGGCAGCUCGCUGGGACGGUACUGACGCUGAGACGCGAAAGCGUGGGGAGCAAACAGG